GGGCGCUUAGCUCAGCUGGUCAGAGCGCCACGUUUACACCGUGGAUGUCACAUGUUCGAAUCAUGUAGCGCCCA
rnacentral:tRNA from 1 species